rnacentral:rRNA from 1 species
UGGCGGACGGGUGAGUAACGCGUGGGUAACUGCCUCAUACAGGGGGAUAACAGUUAGAAAUGACUGCUAAUACCGCAUAAGACCACAGCACCGCAUGGUGCGGGGGUAAAAACGUACCGGUGGUAUGAGAUGGACCCGCGUCUGAUUAGCUAGUUGGUAAGGUAACGGCUUACCAAGGCGACGAUCAGUAGCCGACCUGAGAGGGUGACCGGCCACAUUGGGACUGAGACACGGCCCAA